rnacentral:rRNA from 1 species
AGCGAACGCUGGCGGCAGGCCUAACACAUGCAAGUCGAACGAACUCUUCGGAGUUAGUGGCGGACGGGUGAGUAACACGUGGGAACGUGCCUUUAGGUUCGGAAUAACUCAGGGAAACUUGUGCUAAUACCGAAUGUGCCCUUCGGGGGAAAGAUUUAUCGCCUUUAGAGCGGCCCGCGUCUGAUUAGCUAGUUGGUGAGGGAAAGGCUCACCAAGGCGACGAUCAGUAGCUGGUCUGAGAGGAUGAUCAGCCACAUUGGGACGGAGACACGGCCCAAACUCCUACGGGAGGCAGCAGUGGGGAGUCGUGCGCAAUGGGCGAAAGCCUGACGCAGCCAUGCCGCGUGAAUGAUGAAGGUCUUAGGAUUGUAAAAUUCUUUCACCGGGGACGAUAAUGACGGUACCCGGAGAAGAAGCCCCGGCUAACUUCGUGCCAGCAGCCGCCGUAA